CUUGUUCAUACCCUUGAAAGAAGAGGCCAUGUCGUCGUGGUAACUUGGAAUUGAGGAGUUAGAUGAAACCAUACGCGAAAAUGUUUUUUUUUUCAUUUUGUACCUUCAAAAUCCAUCUAUCAUUUUUUUUCAUCUUUUUGGUUAGAUUUUCCUUACUGGUGUUUGAAAUGAAUUUCAGGCAGAUAUUGGCCUUGCUGUGUGAGAAAUUGAGAAUUCAAGGAACAUAAGUGGCUAAGGAGAGCUUGGAAAUCAUCACGUUUUGCUUUGUUAUAUCCACUUCAGUUGUUUAGGUUUGUCAAACUUUUGCCUUGUUAUAUUUCUUCGCAUAUAACUAACUACUUACGUUUGAUAUCCUCUUUAGCUGUUAUUAAUAUUUCGAAUAAUGUUUUAUGGCCAGCUUUCCGAUUUAUGUUGUCCUGAAGUUACACUGUUGAAACUAAUGUUCAUAUACACAUUCUGAGAUUUAUCCAGUUUCAGCUCGUUGAUAAUGUCGCUACUCUCAUCAUUGCCGUUGUAGCUGUUGUUAAUGUUGCACUCAACGUGCAGCUCACAGUUUCCUCCAGCUCUUGGCUCAUUAUUUAUUUACCUUCAAAAUCCAGUAUCCAUCAUUUUUUCCAUCUUUUGGGUUAUAUUUUUCUUACUGGUGCUUGAAAUGAAUUUCAGGCAGAUAUUGGCCUUGCGAUGAGAAUUCAAGGAACAAAAGUGGACAAGGAAAGCUCGGAUAUCAUCGUCUUUUGCUUUGUUAUAUCUUCUUCAGUUGUUAAGAUGAUGGUAACGGCUAGGUGACAAGGCUGACAACUGAGCAAUCUUUCCUUGUGCGUCUAAUGUCUAUCCAAGAGUGGGUGAGUGUCUUUCUCCAGCAUUUGUGUACGUCCAAAAUCAUUCAAGUGUGUGUCAAGUUGUUGUUAAUGUCGCACUCAACAUGCAGCUCACAGUCACAGUUGCCUCCGGCUCUCAGCUCAUUACUUGUUGAAGGAGUAGCUCAAAAUACCAGUGGUGGUAUUUAUGCUCCAGGAGUGAGCUUCUUUACUACAGUCAUCUCACUUUAUGUAGAUGAUCUGUUAGUUACAGGUUCUUGUGUUCAAGAGAUUGAGAAAGUGAAAAAGAAGCUGAUGAGCUUGUUUGAGAUGUCUGAUCUUGGUCAAGUAUCUUUCUUUCUGGGAAUUGAGAUAAAUCAGAGUAAAGGGGGGAUUUUUCUGUGCCAGAGGAAUAUCUCUCUGAAACAUUGAAGAAGUUCAAGUUUGAUGGCUGUAAGAGUGUGAGAACACCCAUGAACAUGAAGGAGAAGUUAGUGAUUGAAGAAACAGAAGAAGAGGUUGAUGAAAGGAACUAUCGAAGCUUGGUUGGAUGUCUGAUGUACUUAACAGCAUCUAGACCAGAUGUGUUGUUUGUUGUUAAUGUACUUUCGAGGUUUCUGAAUAAUCCAAGGAGGAGUCAUUUGGUGGCAGAUAAAAGGGUGUUGAGAUAUUUGAAGGGAACACUUGAUUAUGGUGUUCUGUUUAAGUCAGAUUUUGAAGCCGAUUUGGUUGGGUUUGCUGAUAGUGAUUGGGCUGGUUCAACUCAAGACAUGAAGAGUACCUCUGGUUUCUGUUUCAUGCUUGGUUCAAAUUGUUUUUUGUGGAGCUCUAAGAAGCAGGAAGUGGUGGCUCAGUCAACUGCCUGCGGAAUUCAUUGCCACAACUGCAGCAGCAAACCAAGCAAUCUGGCUCAGAAAAAUCCUGUGUGAUUUGGGUUUCAUUCCAAGGAUUCCAACUCAGAUCAAUGUGGACAAUCAGGCAGCUAUUGCCAUUUCGAAGAAUCCUGUUUUCAACCUGAUGUCCAAGUUCAUAUUCAAAAAAGCUAACAAA